rnacentral:lncRNA from 1 species
CGGAAUGAUUUGGGUACCUCACCUUCUCUUUCUCACCUGAGAUCACUUGUAUUUGAAAAGAAUGUAUACUCUUCAAGGCACUUCAGGAAUAUACACAGAAAAUGAAAGCCCAUUGUUUGAACAGAUUUCAUUAAACGAGAGCUCUACUUUAAGAAGAAGAAAAAAAUUGUAGACUACCAGAUGUUAUGGAUCUACAG